GCCUGAUCCAGCCAUGCCGCGUGUGUGAAGAAGGCCUUCGGGUUGUAAAGCACUUUUGUCCGGAAAGAAAGGCUUCGGGUUAAUAACCCGGAGUUAUGACGGUACCGGAAGAAUAAGCACCGGCUAACUUCGUGCCAGCAGCCGCGGUAAUACGAAGGGUGCAAGCGUUACUCGGAAUUACUGGGCGUAAAGCGUGCGUAGGUGGUUUGUUAAGUCUGAUGUGAAAGCCCUGGGCUCAACCUGGGAACUGCAUUGGAAACUGGCUGACUAGAGUGCGGUAGAGGGGUGUGGAAUUCCCGGUGUAGCAGUGAAAUGCGUAGAUAUCGGGAGGAACAUCUGUGGCGAAGGCGACACCCUGGACCAGCACUGACACUGAGGCACGAAAGCGUGGGGAGCAAACAGGAUUAGAUACCCUGGUAGUCCACGCCCUAAACGAUGCGAACUGGAUGUUGGGGGCAACUUGGCCCUCAGUAUCGAAGCUAACGCGUUAAGUUCGCCGCCUGGGAAGUACGGUCGCAAGACUGAAACUCAAAGGAAUUGACGGGGGCCCGCACAAGCGGUGGAGUAUGUGGUUUAAUUCGAUGCAACGCGAAGAACCUUACCUGGCCUUGACAUGCACGGAACUUUCCAGAGA
rnacentral:rRNA from 1 species